ACACGUGGCGACCAUCUUUGUUAUGGGCAAGACGUCUCUCUGCCAUCUUUACUGAGGGCAAAACAAGCACCCUGCCCUACGCUGUAUCGAUACGAGCCAUGUUUACUGAGGGAAACGCCCUUCCCCCGCCCUUCAGGGGAACGCAAAACAGAAACGUCACCGGUAACGUCCUCAAAAAUUCCCCUGCUCAUUUCAGUAGAAGCUCACCCCUGCCCCAGGCUCUCCCUUCGGCACCUGCCCAGAGUGACUGGGGAAAAAAUCCUUCCUGGGGUAGAUGACAAACCGCCUUGCCUUGCACUUGGGCUGCGAAUAGUUCGACGCUGGCUAGGGCUGCCGAGCUCCAAGGCAGGCUGGUGAGAGGGGCAUGGAAAUUGCCUUGUGAAGGAGAACGAUGAAGCAGUAGUGUUUGUGUGUGAGCGCAGGGGAGCCUUUUCUGGAAAAGUAAACAGUGGCUUCAGCUCCCCUAGUUUAUUCUGAGACUCACCAUAUUUGGUGGGUUUCCUCCCGCCCUUUAAAGUCACAGUUCUUGGAGUCAUGUGAUUACCUCAGAGUCUCAGCUUUCAUUUAAGAGAAAAGUAAAGAAGUUAGUAGAGAUGGGCUGAAAAUCUCAUUGUGGCUGUUAAAGCCUGAUCCCACUUCCAAGAGGCAAAACAAGGCAAACACACACACCAAAGAACAGCAAAGGAAGAAAAUGCAGCUUCUCUCUCCAGUGUUAACUCUCACUUGCAGCCUUACUGCUGAAAAAUACAGGCCCAGAACAGCCUUAUCAGCUACCUCGAGAUUUGGAAACUUGUACUAGCUGUGAUGCUGUAGGAAUGAAACAUGACCAUUUAUAUCAUUAAUAUUGACACUGUUUGGCAACAAAUCUUGUACAAAGCAUGUCAUGUAAGGCGUCAAUGGAAAAGUUAUGAUUGGCCAAGUAUGAUGAUCCUGGUUAUAUGCAUGUAUUAUUUUUGUAUCUGAAGUUAUAAAUAUUGACUAUAUACUGGCAUCCUACCUAUGUGCAGUAUUCCUUGUCAACGUCCAUAGGGUAGUUUAUAUCCAGUCUAGCCAGCCAUUGUGAAUUAAAUCUCAUAAUGGACCAGAGAAGAAAUUCAUCCCAUGCAGUGAGCCUUCCUGUGGAUACCAUAGCCAGAAUAUGGGUAAUGGCUGUUCCUGUGAAUCAUCAAAGCAUGUAAAGGCAUGUGAUUUGCUCAUGUGACCCUGGACUCCAUCUUGUGCCUGUAAGUUUCCACAAACUAAGACGGAGAGCAUUCCCUCCACAUGGGAGAAGUUAUAAAGGAGCCUGGAAGCAUCUCUAUUUUGCCUCUCCUGCUCUAAUCUCUGGACUAUGGAUUUACACUAAAAGGAGCAUUCCAAUCAAUGGACUGAGAACCUUCCAAUCUUUUGGAAGUUACCAGAGACUUUACAAGCCAUCAGUCUGUAACAUCACUGCUACAAACCUGAUCCAAGAACUUUGCAAUGAUUGUAUGCUAUAUGAUUUCUUUGACCAUUUUAGUGUUCUCCUUUUUUUUUCUCUCAUAAAUAAACCGUUAGAUAUUAGUUACUAAA